rnacentral:lncRNA from 1 species
GGCUUCUCAUUUGUGCUGACUAUUGUGGCAUUCGUACAAAUUCACAUUAUGCCAUAUGAUAUCCAGGUGCUUUUCUGAUCUGUAUUGAACAUAUUUUACGUGCCUUAUAUCACAUGUCUUGUCAAAAGCAUUUCUCUAGUAGUAGUGAUGAAAAUAUGGGGGAAAACAUGUAUAGAUGAACAAGUAGAAUUCCCAAAAAAAUUGGUUGACAAUUUUUUACCAGACGAGUAGUUCUUUCAGGAAUCACUGCAACUGGCAAUAUAUACAGUAAAUGUUUGAAAUUCUCUUGGUCGAUAAAUAAAUUGUAGAGGUAGUUUUACAAUUCAAAGAUAAUGGAUCAAUCUAUUCCAUCUACUGAAUAUUUACUUUGGUUUUGACAUACAAAAUAUUUUCAGUUCAUGUGUGUCAAGAAAAAAAAAUCAAGGGCCCUUGUUGUCUUCCUGCCCCGAGCCCCGUAUAUAUGUGGACCGGCCCUGACAUACGUGUCAGUGUUUGGAGUGGUUGUAAUGCUACGAUCUGUUUAAUCUAGGUAUGGUUAUAUCUUCUCUGUAGCUUUCUUCCGAGCCAAGUCAGAUUAAACGAAUGUAGCUCUUGUAAACUGUUUCCCUAAUUAUUAACACACACGAAUCCCUG